rnacentral:rRNA from 1 species
UACGUAGGUGGCAAGCGUUGUCCGGAAUUAUUGGGCGUAAAGCGCGCGCAGGCGGAUUGGUCAGUCUGUCUUAAAAGUUCGGGGCUUAACCUCGUGAUGGGAUGGAAACUGCCAAUCUAGAGUAUCGGAGAGGAAAGUGGAAUUCCUAGUGUAGCGGUGAAAUGCGUAGAUAUUAGGAAGAACACCAGUGGCGAAGGCGACUUUCUGGACGAAAACUGACGCUGAGGCGCGAAAGCCAGGGGAGCGAACGGG